GUGCCAGCCGCCGCGGUAACACGUACUGUGCGAACGUUAUUCGGAAUCACUGGGCUUAAAGGGUGCGUAGGCGGCGAUACAAGUCAGGUGUGAAAUGCCGGAGCUCAACUGCGGCAUUGCGCUUGAAACUGUGUUGCUUGAGUAUUUCAGGGGUGUGGGGAACUGCCAGUGGAGCGGUGAAAUGUGUUGAUAUUGGCAGGAACACCGGAGGCGAAAGCGCCACACUGGGGAAUAACUGACGCUGAGGCACGAAAGCCAGGGGAGCGAACGGGAUUAGAUACCCCGGUAGUCCUGGCUGUAAACGAUGAGUACUGAGCGGAAGGAAGUUUACUUUUUUCUGCUGUAGUGAAAACGUUAAGUACUCCGCCUGGGGAGUAUGGUCGCAAGGCUGAA
rnacentral:rRNA from 1 species